rnacentral:ribozyme from 11 species
UCUUUCUUUCUUUCUUUCUGUUCUUCCUUUUUUUUUUCUUUCUCUGUCUAUUCUGUGCACGAAAAGGAAGAUGGAGGAGAGAACAGAUGAGAUGUUUCCUCUUUCUGGCCACCAGUCAGUUAGGUUUACGUGAAAAAGACAAGAAUAGAAGAGAUGAAUGUAUUUUCUGUU